UUUUUCUUUUUUAUUUUUUAAGAGAUGGAGUCUCACUCUCGCCUAGGCUGUAGUGCAGUGGUGUGAUCACAGCUCACUGCAGCUCUGAACUCCUGGGCUCAAGCAAUCUUCCCAUCUCAGCCCUCUGAGUAGCUGGGAUUACAGGCGCAAGCCACCAUACCUGGCUCCAAGAACCAUGAUUUUUAAAUUGAGGAAGAGAGAGUAAAAGAAAGUACAAGAGUAAGUUCAGUUACUGUUUUUCAAAUGUUUGGCAUUCUACCAACUUUUUGUUAUAAAUCCAAGAGAGAGCACUAACAUACUUCUUCCUUCCUCCCAAGUCAAACGUAUAUACUACACCCAACUUGGUAAGUUCUGCUCUCUCUCUUAUGGCAAAGGGAAACACUGAUAUCAUUUCAAAAAAUCAUUUUGC
rnacentral:lncRNA from 1 species